rnacentral:rRNA from 1 species
UUGGAGGGCAAGUCUGGUGCCAGCAGCCGCGGUAAUUCCAGCUCCAAUAGCGUAUAUUAAAGUUGUUGCAGUUAAAAAGCUCGUAGUUGAAUUUCGGGAUCAAUUUAUUGGUCGUGCUAUUGUACGUACUGGUAUUAUUGAUUCCUACCUUCUGACGAACCACGAUGUCAUUAAUUUGGUGUCAUGGGGAAUCAGGACUGUUACUUUGAAAAAAUUAGAGUGUUUAAAGCAGGCUCACGCUUGAAUACAUUAGCAUGGAAUAACGAAAUAGGACGUUUGAUUCUAUUUUGUUGGUUUCUAGGAUCGACGUAAUGAUUAAUAGGGAUAGUUGGGGGCAUUAGUAUUCAAUUGUCAGAGGUGAAAUUCUUGGAUUUAUUGAAGACUAACUACUGCGAAAGCAUUUGCCAAGGAUGUUUUCAUUAAUCAAGAGCGAAAGUUAGGGGAUCGAAGACGAUCAGAUACCGUCGUAGUCUUAACCAUAAACUAUGCCGACUAGGGAUCGGAUGAUGUUAAUUUUUUAAUGACUCAUUCGGCGCCUUACGGGAAAC